AUGCCCUUUUAAGGUCAACCCAGUGCCUUCAGAGGCUAACACAGAAGAGUAAAGUCAGUCUCCAUAAAACCCAGAGAAAAGAUGGUAAAACUCCUCUUGAGAGCCUUAUCUGGUGUCGCAGCU